UACGAAGGGGGCUAGCGUUGCUCGGAUUUACUGGGCGUAAAGGGCGCGUAGGCGGACAGUUUAGUCAGAGGUGAAAGCCCAGGGCUCAACCUGGAAUUGCCUUUGAUACUGGCUGUCUUGAGUACGGGAGAGGUGAGUGGAACUCCGAGUGUAGAGGUGAAAUUCGUAGAUAUUCGGAAGAACACCAGUGGCGAAGGCGACUCACUGGCCCGUUACUGACGCUGAGGCGCGAAAGCGUGGGGAGCAAACAGG
rnacentral:rRNA from 1 species